AAAAACUUAAUUCCUAGGUUUUCAUGUCUAACGUUUGAUUGUCCGUUUUAUUUAAAAAAAAUAUGAAAAAAUUUUAAAAGAUAAGUCAUAUAUAAAGUAUUAUUCAUGUUUUAUCAUCUAACAGUAAUAAAAAUACUAAUCAUAAAAAUUUUAUAUAAGACGGACGUUCAAACGUUGGACACGGAAACCCAAGAAUUGAGUCUUU
rnacentral:pre_miRNA from 1 species